ensembl:lncRNA
GCCUGAUAUAUUUAUUGUACCUGGCAACCCUGAGCUCAAGGGAGGAGAUUAUCAAAUUGUCUCUUGAGAAUGAACUAGAAUAUUACGGAGUGGAGUGCAGUUUAACAAACACACUGCAGGUGCACUGAUCACGUCUUAAAGCUCAGCUCGUUUCACAGGAAUCAUGCAGAAGUCUGAGGCAGAGAUCUUUCUAGAGGCACACAGAGCUACAAUAUUUAAAAAGGCAAGGAAUGUCAGUGGCUUAGUGGAUUUUCUGCAGCAACAGAGCUUUCUAACAAACGAAAUGGCUAGCAACAUCUGUGUUGAAACAACGGAUCCGAAGAAAAUGCGUGAACUAUAUAAACAUCUGAACUGCACCAGUGGAUAUGAGUUAACGCUAAAAUGGCUUGAGAAGAACGAGUCUGAUUUAAUUAAACAAUUAAAGCAAGAAAAGGGCCAAACACACAGUGGAGUACGUAAGUUGUAAAAAAUAUCUUAUUUUAGGAAUAUUAGGUUUCUUUGUAAUGAAAAGAUUGUUUUGAAUAAAUAUGUGUUAUGCUUUAUUAACAGGAAAGAGGUUGAGAAGUUCUGAUGGUGCAAAAGAUGUGGAUGAAUUGGACAGUGACCUUAAAAUCUGUUGUCUCAAGACUCUUACAUUGGCCAAACUAGAAAGAUGGGUCUCUCAUCCUGAACACAGCCCCAAGCUUAUCAAUAAAUUGAAAGAAAAACUUGGAGGUUUGGAGGCUCUGGAAAAACAACUUAAGGAUAAAAAGCUGAAAAAAGCUUUACUCUUCAAUGCUGAUGAUGUCAAGAACAUUGAAAAAAACAGAGAAUUUCUUCAAUUCCUUGAGGAUUGUAAAAAUGCAAAGUUCCCUAAACUUGUAAUAGAACUUUUUUUUCAGAACAAGGGCAAGAUUAUUCAUUCCAUUCCAGAGAAAAAUGACCCUAAUACCAGUAAGAGGUGCUUAGACAGUCAGCGUGAACCUUCAGAGAAUUUAAGUAACCAGUUCAAAAGUGGUCAGUCUAUUCACCCCAAUAAUUCUUUGUCAGAAGCUGCAACCUUUCACUCUGAAAAUAAUGUUAAAGAUCUCUGUUCUCCCCAAGCAGUGACACCUAAAAGGAGGCAGGAUCCAACUAACAGCCAGUUAAAAGAAACUGAGAAAAAGCAGAGGCUGAAAGCAUGGGCAAUACAAAAAUGCCGCAGUGAAGGAAAUGCAAAAGUGUUUGACCACAUCUCAUUGGAAAAUCUCGUAGAACACAGAGAGUACCCAUGUUUUAUUGCUGAGGACGUCAUGAUCUUUACAGACCCACAGACUCAAGAAAGACAAAUCAUUGUUACUGAAAACAAUAAUAGUAGAAAUCUCCCCAAGAAAAUUAGAAAUUUGCUUCAAUAUCAGAUGUGGGUGUGUGAUAUUAAACAGGCAGUGGUUAUAAUGAAUCAGGGAGAAAAGAAGGUUAUGUAUGAAUCUUUUGAUUCAAUUCUGCAGCGCUGUGAGAGGCUAGUUUUUGAAGCCCUAGCCCCUGCUCUAGCAGUGUUCAAAAACCUCCAGAGACAAGAGAAGUUCUUCUCUCUUUAAAAAUCACUAAAUAUAUCUAUUAGUUUACUACAGAAAAAGGUUUCAGUUGAACUAUAUAUUAUUGCUAUAAUAAUUGUAUGAACAGUCCAUAAAAAUAUUUUAGUUAUAGUGCAUCAUGUAAUAGUGUUUAAAAGUUGUCAUUUACCUGAAAAGUCAGAAACUUUAUUUGUAAUUUUUCGUUUCUAUUUGUUUGCAGAAUAAGAAAACAGACACGCCACCUAAAGAACAGAGUGUGAAUGUUUUUUUUAUACUGUUCAGGAUGAUCAUAAUAUACAGGGUUAUGUUGAAUUUAUGGGAACAAAUCAGAAAGAUGGACACUCAUAAAAAACAAUGACUUAAUUUUUUCUGUAAAAAUUAAUAAUCUGAUUGAUUUGAUCUGAUUCCUGAGCCGACACAGGCAGGUUUCUGAAGGGCACCAUUAAACCAGUGAACAGGAAAAGCCUGACAACAGAACUUAGAUUUCAACCCAUGCAAUUCCUAGAACUGUUGACCAAUGGUUCAUGUUUGUUUUUGUAUUGUAUUUUUGUUUGUGUCAAUAAUUUUUAUCUUAAUGUAAAAUGUUAUAUACAGUUUAUCAAAGAAAUGUAAAACUACAUUACAGCAGAGUCUGAAGAAGUUUUUUGUUUGUUUAGGUGUAGCUAUAUCGAGUUAUGCUGAUAAAAAAAACAAGUAACAAUGUUUAAUCAAGCAAAGGUUUUGUUCACUGAUAAAAACAGUGCAACCACAAGAUGGUAGCAAUGCCACGUUUCUUUGUAACAACUGCUGUAAUACACAGUGUUAACACUGCACAAUACUCUGGUCUACACUACUGAAGUGUCACGUGGAUUGUAUGCUUUGCUGACAGGUUUUAUGUACUUGUUAAGGGUGCAGUGAUGCACUCUGCUUUUUUUUCUGAUAUUUGGAACACAUUUUGAAUAAAACCAUUUUGUUUUUAUCCUGCUUUUCA